GGCCCCCUCCGCCGCCACCAGCAUCCUGCUGCCCCCACCGACAGGACUCGGAGCCCGCCGGGGAGCUUCUGACGUAGCAGGGGGGGUGCGUGGGAGGGGGGCCGAGACGCCUCUCCUCGCGGCCCCGCCCCCUGCACCCCAUCCUCCUAUGGGUCCCUCCCUGCGCGCUCACCCGGGACGCCCUCCCCAGAGUCUUGCUAUAUAGCCCAGGGUGACCUCGAACUCACGAUAAUCCUCCUGCCUCAGCCUCCCUCGUGCUAGGAUCACCAGUGUGCACCACCGCUCCUGGCAAAAUAAGUUUUCAAAAAGAGGUGCAUGUUAUAGGCUUCUGCGGCCAAGGGGGACCACAAGUCCGGCUCCUGCGGGUCACACCCAGUGUGAUCUCGCUGUUUGCCCACAUUUUGGCACGCAAGGAAAAGACAUCCCUCCCGCUCCCACCCGGCCUGGAGACAGCCUGGCAAGCUGGCCAUGGCAGGGGCGCAGCAAGCAUUGCCUGGUCCACGGACCGAGCCGGCAGCUGUUCCUGGCUUCCGGGAUACGCCUCUGACAUUGCGCACGGGAACAUGAAGUGGUUUAUCAGCUGUGGAAAACAGCUCACCCCGUCCGUGACCAAGAACCCACCACCUGCUCCGCAGCCUAAAGUCCUCCAGUGGGUCCCAGGUGGACCUCCUGCUCUGGGACUCUCAGUCUCCUCACUCUCCCUAUGUGCUGGGAAAUAUUCCAAGAUAAUCAGGACCCCACUCUGCUCUCCCUUCCCUCAAAGACCCCCAAUGACAGAGGAUUAUAGGAUACCGAACUUUUGAAGACCUGGACAAACGUUUUACCUCCUCUCCCUUGACAAACAGCGAUCAUUCCAGCAACGCCUGGGCCCUCCUAUCCUCUAUCGCCCAUCCAUGGCCUCCAGGGCAGAGCUACCUAGAGUAAGGUCAGAGGACCAGUGCAGACUGGCUAGGGAAUUAUAAGAAUUCAGAAAUCAAAUCGUGGUGGGGUGUGCCUGUCAUCCCAGCCUCAGGAGGCUGAGGCAGGAGGAUCAGUUCGAGUAUGAGGCCAGCCUGGGCUACAAAUGAAGCCGUGUCUCCAAAUGCAAAUAAUUAAACAAAAAAUUGUUUAAAAGAAAGAGAAAAAGGACAGAAAGGUCCUUCAUCAUGGAGUUUGAGCUGCGCUCCUGAGAUAAGAUGCAUGGUUUUUGGUUUCACUCUUGGCUCCCAGCUCCUUCUUUAAGGCAGGUCAUGAAACUAGGAUUUCCCUCCUGCGGCAUGGAUAGAAACCCAGGACCUGUGAUUUGUGAGAUCUGUGAGGGGCUCAAGCAAGUAAACCAAAGCCAAGGAGGGCGCACGGGGACCCUGCUUUCUUGCCAGCCAGACGCACUGGGAGAAGGACCCACUGGUGCCCACAGUGGGGGGGGCACCUCGGAACCAAGCCCUAGACCAGGGCACCUGGCACUGUCUGUGGUGUCAGAGCUGCACUGGGCCAAGGCACGUCUGAGUGUCGAAGUGGAACUGUGCUGUGCUCCUAUUCCACUUCCUCUGAGAAGCGCUCCCCACGCCGACCCUGCAGGACGGGCAGAGUUCUGUGCCUCUUGGUGUCCCCCUGGCCCAUCUGCUCCCUGAGCUCCAUUGUCCUCAUCUGACCCCUCGAAGGGCCCCUGCAUCCUGAGCUCCAGCCUCUGGGAUCUUCUGGCAGUGACUCAUUCCCCAGAUCACAGCCUGCCCUGCCUGAUGUCACUCCCUUUCUGGGGCCCUGACCUUCUCAGCUAGGACAUGGCUUGGCCAAAAUUCAGUGGCAUAAAUGAUAUUAAAGACUACCCAGGCAUGACAGCACCCGCCUGUCAUCCCAGCACUCUGGGAGGCUGAGGCAGGAGGAUCACAAGUUCAAGCCUUGCCUAUGUCCAAUCCCCAGUACUGCAAAGAAAAAAAAAUAAGCUAAAGACUAAAACUGUGUUUUACUUAUUUUGUAGUAGGAAAUCCUAUGUGUAUAUGAUCCAUGAGUGAGGAAGGGAAAACAGCACAAAGCCACCUUUCCCACCACUGCCUGUCCCCAGUCCCCGAGUCCAACCCUGGAGCUGCCACCACUGCACACGGGUCACACAUUCAGGGUAUCCCCAUAAACUUUUUUUUUUGUUGUCUUUUUCAUUUUUAUGGGUACCGGGGAUAGAACUCACGACUGCCUGUUUGCAAGGCAGGCGCUUACGCCGCUGAGCUAAAACCUCAGCCCCGGCCCCCCCAUGAACUUUCUUACCCAAAGGGCAAUGCACCAUCCACACUGAGGCAUCAGCGGGGUUCCCAACAUCGGUAUAAUGAGGGGCAGGAGGGCCUCCCUGCGGUGAGCAGACCCUGAAGUGGACCAGCUGGCCAAGGGCAUAUGCUUUACAAGUGCUUUUUAGUGUUUAUUACAUGUUUGUUUUACAGUGCAGGAGGUCAGAGGCAGGGUUCCGCGCGUGCUAGGUAAACGCCCGACCACCAAGCCACCCCCAGCUCAAAUUUUAUUUAUUCAUGCAUUCAUUCAUUUGCCGCUGUUUUGAGACGGGGUCUCACUGCCUACCCCACUGGCCUCCAAUUUGCAAUAAUCUUCUUGCCUCAGCCUCCUCGAGUGAUGGGAUUAUAUGGAUGUACCUCUGUGCCUAGCUUUCUCCCAACUCCACUUUUUU